rnacentral:rRNA from 1 species
GCGUGUGAUUAGUGGCGAACGGGUGAGUAACGCGUGAGUAACCUGCCCUUGACUCUGGGAUAAGCGCUGGAAACGGCGUCUAAUACCGGAUACGAGCUUCAGCCGCAUGGCUAGGAGUUGGAAAGAAUUUCGGUCAAGGAUGGACUCGCGGCCUAUCAGCUAGUUGGUGAGGUAAUGGCUCACCAAGGCGACGACGGGUAGCCGGCCUGAGAGGGUGACCGGCCACACUGGGACUGAGACACGGCCCAGACUCCUACGGGAGGCAGCAGUGGGGAAUAUUGCACAAUGGGCGAAAGCCUGAUGCACCAACGCCGCGUGAGGGAUGACGGCCUUCGGGUUGUAAACCUCUUUUAGUAGGGAAGAAGCGAAAGUGACGGUACCUGCAGAAAAAGCACCGGCUAACUACGUGCCAGCAGCCGCGGUAAUACGUAGGGUGCAAGCGUUGUCCGGAAUUAUUGGGCGUAAAGAGCUCGUAGGCGGUUUGUCGCGUCUGCUGUGAAAUCUGGGGGCUCAACCCCCAGCCUGCAGUGGGUACGGGCAGACUAGAGUGCGGUAGGGGAGAUUGGAAUUCCUGGUGUAGCGGUGGAAUGCGCAGAUAUCAGGAGGAACACCGAUGGCGAAGGCAGAUCUCUGGGCCGUAACUGACGCUGAGGAGCGAAAGCGUGGGGAGCGAACAGGAUUAGAUACCCUGGUAGUCCACGCCGUAAACGUUGGGAACUAGAUGUGGGGACCAUUCCACGGUCUCCGUGUCGCAGCUAACGCAUUAAGUUCCCCGCCUGGGGAGUACGGCCGCAAGGCUAAAACUCAAAGGAAUUGACGGGGGCCCGCACAAGCGGCGGAGCAUGCGGAUUAAUUCGAUGCAACGCGAAGAACCUUACCAAGGCUUGACAUAUACCGGAAACGGCCAGAGAUGGUCGCCCCGCAAGGUCGGUAUACAGGUGGUGCAUGGUUGUCGUCAGCUCGUGUCGUGAGAUGUUGGGUUAAGUCCCGCAACGAGCGCAACCCUCGUUCUAUGUUGCCAGCACGUUAUGGUGGGAACUCAUAGGAGACUGCCGGGGUCAACUCGGAGGAAGGUGGGGAUGACGUCAAAUCAUCAUGCCCCUUAUGUCUUGGGCUUCACGCAUGCUACAAUGGCCGGUACAAAGGGCUGCGAUACCGUAAGGUGGAGCGAAUCCCAAAAAGCCGGUCUCAGUUCGGAUUGGGGUCUGCAACUCGACCCCAUGAAGUCGGAGUCGCUAGUAAUCGCAGAUCAGCAACGCUGCGGUGAAUACGUUCCCGGGCCUUGUACACACCGCCCGUCAAGUCAUGAAAGUCGGUAACACCCGAAGCCAGUGGUCCUAAUCACCCGUUGUG